rnacentral:rRNA from 1 species
GACGAACGCUGGCGGCGUGCUUAACACAUGCAAGUCGAACGGAAAGGCCCUGCUUUUGUGGGGUGCUCGAGUGGCGAACGGGUGAGUAACACGUGAGUAACCUGCCCUUGACUUUGGGAUAACUUCAGGAAACUGGGGCUAAUACCGGAUAGGAGCUCCUGCUGCAUGGUGGGGGUUGGAAAGUUUCGGCGGUUGGGGAUGGACUCGCGGGUUAUCAGCUUGUUGGUGGGGUAGUGGCUGACCAAGGCUUUGACGGGUAGCCGGCCUGGGAGGGGGAACGGCGACAAUGGGACUAAGGGACGGCGCAGACGGCUACGGGAGGCAGCGGUCGGGAGUAUUGCACAACGGGGGGAAGCGUGAGGCAGCAGCGCCGGGUGCGGGAUGAUGUCCUUCGGGUUGUAAACAGCUUUCGCCUGUGACGAAGAGUGAGUGACGGUAAUGGGUAAAGAAGCACCGGCUAACUACGUG